rnacentral:rRNA from 1 species
AGUUUGAUCAUGGCUCAGAUUGAACGCUGGCGGCAGGCCUAACACAUGCAAGUCGAACGGUAACAGGAAGCAGCUUGCUGCUUUGCUGACGAGUGGCGGACGGGUGAGUAAUGUCUGGGAAACUGCCUGAUGGAGGGGGAUAACUACUGGAAACGGUGGCUAAUACCGCAUAACGUCGCAAGACCAAAGAGGGGGACCUUCGGGCCUCUUGCCAUCAGAUGUGCCCAGAUGGGAUUAGCUAGUUGGUGAGGUAACGGCUCACCAAGGCGACGAUCCCUAGCUGGUCUGAGAGGAUGACCAGCCACACUGGAACUGAGACACGGUCCAGACUCCUACGGGAGGCAGCAGUGGGGAAUAUUGCACAAUGGGCGCAAGCCUGAUGCAGCCAUGCCGCGUGUAUGAAGAAGGCCUUCGGGUUGUAAAGUACUUUCAGCGGGGAGGAAGGUGUUGUGGUUAAUAACCGCAGCAAUUGACGUUACCCGCAGAAGAAGCACCGGCUAACUCCGUGCCAGCAGCCGCGGUAAUACGGAGGGUGCAAGCGUUAAUCGGAAUUACUGGGCG